rnacentral:rRNA from 1 species
AUUGAACGCUGGCGGCAUGCCUUACACAUGCAAGUCGAACGGCAGCACGGGAGCAAUCCUGGUGGCGAGUGGCGAACGGGUGAGUAAAGUAUCGGAACGUGCCCAGUCGUGGGGGAUAACGUAGCGAAAGUUACGCUAAUACCGCAUACGAUCUAUGGAUGAAAGCGGGGGAUCGCAAGACCUCGCGCGAUUGGAGCGGCCGAUAUCAGAUUAGGUCGUUGGUGGGGUAAAGGCUCACCAAGCCGACGAUCUGUAGCUGGUCUGAGAGGACGACCAGCCACACUGGGACUGAGACACGGCCCAGACUCCUACGGGAGGCAGCAGUGGGGAAUUUUGGACAAUGGGCGCAAGCCUGAUCCAGCCAUGCCGCGUGCAGGAUGAAGGCCUUCGGGUUGUAAACUGCUUUUGUACGGAACGAAAGGGUUUGGCCUAAUACGCUGAACUCAUGACGGUACCGUAAGAAUAAGCACCGGCUAACUACGUGCCAGCCGCCGCGGUAA